CCUACGGGAGGCAGCAGUGAGGAAUAUUGGUCAAUGGACGCAAGUCUGAACCAGCCAUGCCGCGUGCAGGAAGACGGCUCUAUGAGUUGUACACUGCUUUUGUACGAGGGUAAACGCAGAUACGCGUAUCUGUCUGAAAGUAUCGUACGAAUAAGGAUCGGCUAACUCCGUGCCAGCAGCCGUGGUAAUACGGAGGAUUCAAGCGUUAUCCGGAUUUAUUGGGUUUAAAGGGUGCGUAGGCGGUCGGAUAAGUUAGAGGUGAAAUCCCGAGGCUCAACUUCGGAAUUGCCUCUGAUACUGUUCGGCUAGAGAGUAGUUGCGGUAGGCGGAAUGUAUGGUGUAGCGGUGAAAUGCUUAGAGAUCAUACAGAACACCGAUUGCGAAGGCAGCUUACCAAGCUACUUCUGACGUUGAGGCACGAAAGCGUGGGGAGCAAACAGGAUUAGAUACCCGGGUAGUC
rnacentral:rRNA from 1 species